GUAGGGAAUAUUGGACAAUGGGUGCGAGCCUGAUCCAGCCAUGCCGCGUGCAGGAAGACGGCCUUCUGGGUUGUAAACUGCUUUUGCCAGGGGAUAAAACGUCCAUGCGUGGAUAAUUGAAGGUACCUGGUGAAUAAGCCACGGCUAACUACGUGCCAGCAGCCGCGGUAAUACGUAGGUGGCAAGCGUUGUCCGGAUUUAUUGGGUUUAAAGGGUGCGUAGGUGGUUCCAUAAGUCAGUGGUGAAAUACGGCAGCUUAACUGUCGAGGUGCCAUUGAUACUGCGGAACUUGAGUACAGACGAGGUAGGCGGAAUUGACGGUGUAGCGGUGAAAUGCUUAGAUAUCGUCAAGAACACCGAUAGCGAAGGCAGCUUACUAGACUGUAACUGACACUGAGGCACGAAAGUGUGGGGAUCAAACAGGAUUAGAAACCCCGGUAGUCC
rnacentral:rRNA from 1 species